CGUCAGCUCGUGUCGUGAGAUGUUGGGUUAAGUCCCGCAACGAGCGCAACCCUCGCCCUUAGUUGCCAGCAUUUAGUUGGGCACUCUAAGGGGACUGCCGGUGAUAAGCCGAGAGGAAGGUGGGGAUGACGUCAAGUCCUCAUGGCCCUUACGGGCUGGGCUACACACGUGCUACAAUGGUGGUGACAGUGGGCAGCGAGACAGCGAUGUCGAGCUAAUCUCCAAAAGCCAUCUCAGUUCGGAUUGCACUCUGCAACUCGAGUGCAUGAAGUUGGAAUCGCUAGUAAUCGCAGAUCAGCAUGCUGCGGUGAAUACGUUCCCGGGCCUUGUACACACCGCCCGUCACACCAUGGGAGUUGGUUUUACCCGAAGGUAGUGCGCUAACCGCAAGGAG
rnacentral:rRNA from 1 species